AACGAACGCUGGCGGCAGGCUUAACACAUGCAAGUCGAACGCGUGUAGCAAUACACGAGUGGCGCACGGGUGAGUAACGCGUGGAUAUCUGCCUUUUGGUUCGGAAUAACCCCGGGAAACUGGGGCUAAUACCGGAUGGUUCCUUCGGGAUAAAGAUUUAUCGCCAAAAGAUGAGUCCGCGUCCGAUUAGCUAGUUGGUGAGGUAAUGGCUCACCAAGGCGACGAUCGGUAGCUGGUCGAGAGGACGAUCAGCCACACUGGGACUGAGACACGGCCCAGACUCCUACGGGAGGCAGCAGUGGGGAAUAUUGGACAAUGGGGGCAACCCUGAUCCAGCCAUGCCGCGUGAGUGAUGAAGGCCUUCGGUUG
rnacentral:rRNA from 1 species